rnacentral:rRNA from 1 species
UACAGAGGUCCCAAGCGUUGUUCGGAUUCAUUGGGCGUAAAGGGUGCGUAGGCGGCGCGGUAAGUCGGGUGUGAAAUCUCGGGGCUUAACUCCGAAACUGCAUUCGAUACUGCCGUGCUUGAGGACUGGAGAGGAGACUGGAAUUUACGGUGUAGCGGUGAAAUGCGUAGAUAUCGUAAGGAAGACCGGUGGCGAAGGCGGCAUCCUGGACCGGUAUUGACGCUGAGGAGCGAAAGCCAGGGGAGCAAACGGG